UUAAAAACAAAAAUCGAAUAUAGAAAAAGCUAUUUCUACGUUUUACCUUUAUCCUAAUUUUUCAUAAUUGAAAACCUAACCCUAGUUUCACCUAAAUCCCAAUUAUUAACCCUAAAUUUCCCACAUAUUCACAUAUCACAAGCCUCGAACGAGGCCUAGGUCGAUGGAACGCAGUUCACUCGCAGUUCAUCCGAGCAACGCCCUUUUGUCAAAUCCAAGGCUCCUGCAGUUAAAUGGUUAAACCAAUGUGUACCCCAAGAUGUUGCAACUGGUGGGAAGUCUUCUUUUUUCAAAUGGGGACCAAUGAAGGUUUUGAAAGAGAAGGUGCAAGAACCAUCUGCACCAGAGCCAGAACAAACCUGCAGUUUUGAAAGAGCAAUUACUGCAUGAGACAAUUAGUCGAAUCAGGAGGUUGAUGAAGAUGAUUAUGCUAAGCAGAGGCUGUCAAGGCUGAGGUUGAAGAUGCCCUCUUCAAAAUUCACACAACUGAAAGGUUCAAGUCCAUCUGGUGCCAAUUUGAAUGGGGUUAAAAAAAUCUUGGCCAGUAAGAAAAGAAACCAAUGAGGAAGAAGAUAGUGAAGGGACAGAGGAGGAAGAUCAUGACAAUGCAGAGGAUGGUCGGAGGUAUAGCAAAAACAAUUACCAAUGGACGGAAUAUGAAGACUGAAGAGUGAAAUACAGGAGAGGGUGCUUUAAUUUAUUAUAUAUAAAAAUAUUUUUUUAGAAAAAUACUUGUUUCAUUGUUUAAUUUUCUUUAAAAAUAAUUAGAUUUUUUGAGAUUACAAAAUAUUUUCUGUUUAUUAUAUUUCGGAGUGUCAAAAUUAUAAAAAAAAAUGUUGAACAAUAAUUUUUUUUUCAGACAGAAAACGGAACCCACGUUUAGACAAAAAUUUUCUGUUUGGAGGAAAGGAAAAAUAGGCCAAUUUUCCAUUUUCAUUCCAUGCACGCUCACACGUCCUCUUCACCCGCCCAUUAAUUCCAUGACAUAAUAAUAUCAUCAUGUUUCUCUACCUACGCACAAAAUAAAAAACUCUCAAAAAUAAAUAAUUAAAUAUUUAUUUUCAUACCCAAAAAAUUAAAAACUUAUUAUUAUUAUUUGUCAAAACAUAUUUGGAAAAUGGAUUAAUCCUAGGCCUAAUCCCUUCCAGCAGGCGUUUUCUUUCUUUGAGGCUUCCAGG